AUUGAACGCUGGCGGCAGGCCUAACACAUGCAAGUCGCACGAGUGGCGGACGGGUGAGUAAUGUCUGGGAAACUGCCUGAUGGAGGGAGAUGACUACUGGAAACGGUAGCUAAUACCGCAUACCAUCAGAUGUGCCCACAUGGGAUUCGCUUGUUGGUGGGGUAACGUCUCACCAAGGCGACGAUCCCUAGCUGGUCUGAGGAGAUGACCAGCCACACUGGAGCUGAGAAACGGUCAAGACUCCAACGGCAGGCAGCAGUGGGGAAUAUUGCACAAUGGGCGCAAGCCUGAGACAGCCAUGCCGCUUGUAUGAUGAAGGCCUUCGGGUUGUAAAGUACUUUCAGCGGGGAGGCGUUACCCGCAGAAGAAGCACCGGCUAACUCCGUGCCAGCAGCCGCUGUAAUAC
rnacentral:rRNA from 1 species